rnacentral:rRNA from 1 species
UUAGGAAUCGUGCGCAAUGGGGGCAACCCUGACGCCGCGACGUCGCGUGGAGGAUGAAGGUCUUAGGAUCGUAAACUCCUUUUAUCGUCGAACAAGUUCUGAGUGUAGACGAUGAAUAAGUGCCUGCAAACCACGUGCCAGAAGCAUCGGUAAUACGUGGGGCACAAGCGUUAUCCGGAUUUACUGGGCGUAAAGAGAAGCGUAGGCGUCUUCUUAAGUCACUUGUUAAAUGUCUCGGCUCACCCGAGAAAUCGCAAGUGAUACUAAGUUGAUUGAGUUGGGUAGAGGAGAGGGGAAUUCCUGGUGGAGCGGUCAAAUGCGUAGAUAUCAGGAGGAACACCAAAGGCGAAGGCACCUCUCUGGGCCUCAACUGACGCUAAGGCUCGAAAGCGUGGGGAGC